AUACGAACUGUGCAAACGUUAUUCGGAAUCACUGGGCUUAAAGGGUGCGUAGGCGGUUCGACAAGUCAGGUGUGAAAUCUCUCGGCUCAACCGAGAAACUGCGCUUGAAACUGUCGAACUUGAGAGGGAUAGGGGUGAGCGGAACUGCUGGUGGAGCGGUGAAAUGUGUUGAGAUCAGCAGGAACGCCGGUGGCGAAAGCGGCUCACUGGGUCUUUUCUGACGCUGAGGCACGAAAGCUAGGGUAGCGAACGGGAUUAGAAACCCCGGUAGUCC
rnacentral:rRNA from 1 species